GACGAACGCUGGCGGCGUGCUUAACACAUGCAAGUGGAGCGACGAACCAGGGCUUGCCCUGGGGCAGAGCCGCGAACGGGUGAGUAACACGUGGGGAACCUACCCCGAAGACUGGGACAACCCGGGGAAACUCGGGCUAAUACCAGAUGUGGUCCCACUACACAAGUGGUGUGACUACAGGAAGCUUCGGCCUCCGCUUUGGGAGGGUCCCGCGGCGCAUUAGCUUGUUGGGGAGGUAACGGCUCACCAAGGCUUCGAUGCGUAGCUGGUCUGAGAGGACGAUCAGCCACACUGGGACUGAGACACGGCCCAGACUCCUACGGGAGGCAGCAGUGGGGAAUCUUGCGCAAUGGGCGACAGCCUGACGCAGCAACGCCGCGUGGGGGAAGAAGGCCUUCGGGUUGUAAACCUCUUUCAGGAGGGGCGAAGCUUUGCCGGUGAAUAGCCGUGUGAAGUGACGGUACCUCCACAAGCAGCCCCGGCUAACUACGUGCCAGCAGCCGCCGCCGUAA
rnacentral:rRNA from 1 species